rnacentral:tRNA from 1 species
UGAUGUAGCUCAAUUGGUAGAGCGCCUGAUUUGUAAUCAGGGGGUUGCAGGUUCAAGUCCUGUCAUCA